CCUACGGGCGGCAGCAGUGAGGAAUAUUGGUCAAUGGACGAGAGUCUGAACCAGCCAAGUAGCGUGAAGGAUGACGGCCCUAUGGGUUGUAAACUUCUUUUGUAUGGGAAUAAAACGUUCCACGUGUGGGAUUUUGUAUGUACCCUAUGAAUAAGGAUCGGCUAACUCCGUGCCAGCAGCCGCGGUAAUACGGAGGAUCCGAGCGUUAUCCGGAUUUAUUGGGUUUAAAGGGAGCGUAGGCGGAUAGUUAAGUCAGGUGUGAAAGUUUGCGGCUCAACCGUAAAAGUGCAGUUGAAACUGGCAGUCUUGAGUGCAGGAGAGGUAGGCGGAAUUCGUGGUGUAGCGGUGAAAUGCUUAGAUAUCACGAAGAACUCCGAUUGCGAAGGCAGUUCACUGGACUGCAACUGACACUGAGGCUCGAAAGUGUGGGUAUCAAACAGGAUUAGAUACCCCUGUAGUC
rnacentral:rRNA from 1 species